ensembl:snRNA U6 U6 spliceosomal RNA
GUGCUCACUUCAGCAACACAUAUAGUAAAAUUGGAACAAUACAGAGAAGAUUAGCAUGGCUCCUGCGCAAGGAUGACAUGCAAAUUCGUGAAGUGUUCCAUAUUUUU